rnacentral:rRNA from 1 species
GAACGCUGGCGGCAGCCUAACAAUGCAAGUCGAACGGUAACAUUUCUAGCUUGCUAGAAGAUGACGAGUGGCGGACGGGUGAGUAAUGCUUGGGAACUUGCCUUUGCGAGGGGGAUAACAGUUGGAAACGACUGCUAAUACCGCAUAAUGUCUACGGACCAAACGGGGCUUAGGCUCCGGCGCAAAGAGAGGCCCAAGUGAGAUUAGCUAGUUGGUAAGGUAAAGGCUUACCAAGGCAACGAUCUCUAGCUGUUCUGAGAGGAAGAUCAGCCACACUGGGACUGAGACACGGCCCAGACUCCUACGGGAGGCAGCAGUGGGGAAUAUUGCACAAUGGGGGAAACCCUGAUGCAGCCAUGCCGCGUGUGUGAAGAAGGCCUUCGGGUUGUAAAGCACUUUCAGUUGUGAGGAAAAGUUAGUAGUUAAUACCUGCUAGCCAUGACGUUAACAACAGAAGAAGCACCGGCUAACUCCGUGCCAGCAGCCGCGGUAAUACGGAGGGUGCGAGCGUUAAUCGGAAUUACUGGGCGUAAAGCGCACGCAGGCGGUUUGUUAAGCUAGAUGUGAAAGCCCCGGGCUCAACCUGGGAUGGUCAUUUAGAACUGGCAGACUA